CUAUACCUAACUCUCUUCUUUGCCAUGGAAGUGGGUGAUUUAGUAAGUAAUUUAGCCUGUCUUCACUUAUUAUAUCUCUCACUCAUAUGGAAGCAUGCCCACACUGUGUCGGUGAGGUCUUUACUUUUGAGGUAAGGUAUGUCACAAUCGCAUUAUAAAUGGAGCAUAGGAGAAAGUAACAGAGCAAAUGCAUCUUUGCAAAAGUAAAGAACUUACAGAUAGGCAAAGGAUGCUGGAGACUUCCCCAUUUCUGAAAUGAUUACUCUCUUAUUCAUUGGACUGCUAUGCAUUACAGCCUACUAAGGGAGAACGAUGCAGCUAACUCAUCAAGGAAAUUUCUUGCCAUUAUUCUAUAUGCAUUGCAGAAGCCAGUUAAAAAGCAUUCCCAGUAAUCUGGUACAAGCAAAGGACCCAGCCCAGAGCAAAGGACUUCUCUGCUGUGUGCAUUUCCAGAGGGUAGGUCGAACAUUUUAUCAUUCAAUAAUAACUGAUGCUGCUGGAAACUGUACUCAGAAUUUUGUAAGAAAUUUUAUUUCAGUUCACUUAUGUGCCUCUUUAUCUAAAGAAAAACUAUUAGAUUCAAAUAUGGGAUACGCUGAUGUGAUAGGCAAAUAAUUUUGGGACCAACAUAAAGACUUACCCAUAAUGAAGUGUUUUUAGAAACGGGUUUUUCUUCAAUUUUCUGACAGAUAAUUUUGUUAGUUAUUCAAAAACAGAAAAUAGUUGCUAUGCGAUUUAGUAUAUUUAUGUACUUUCUGCCUUCAAAAUAUUUUGUAAAAGUAACGUAUAUAUGAAUUCCAGUAUUGCCAUAUUUUAGUACUGAAUUUCUUAAAUUUUACACUCAUAGCUGUAAUUAUUGUAAGCAUCAACUGUUGUGACUGUUCUGGAAUAAUUUCAGAGUUACUAUUUUAAUGGCUCAUUUUCAGUCAGAAUGAGUUCUCUGGUUUGAUGAGAGAUUAAAUAUCUCUCAAAGAGUGAAUGAGGGAAGUCUCUGUGAAUGUAUCAUCUCACACAAUCACUAUUUCAUGGUAUUUUUGUGUUGUAAAGCAUGUAAAACUUUCUAAAUAAGAAAUUGCAAAAGCAUUUUCAAUUUUUCUUGGUAUGCAAGCCAUAGUACUUCUGUAAUGUCUAUUGACUUACAUGAACAGCAUUAUAAGCAGUUUGUUGGCAAAAACACUUGAGAAAAAAAAUCACGCUUCUAGCACAGUUCUCUCUGGAGAAGCAAGAAGCUAAGCCUGAUAGACUGCUACCUCUGUAGCACAACAAGGUGGUUAUUCAUCCUCCUGUAAAAGCGGGUCUUUAGGGGCUAGUGGGCUAUACUUAAGAUCAAUAGAACUAUUGGCACAUAUUGAUUUGCUUAAUAAAUCUUGAUCCUGGCUUAUAAUAAUCA
rnacentral:lncRNA from 1 species